AUACAGAAUCGACGUAGAAGAGGAGAACGAAGUGAGGGUUCACUUCCAGAACCUGGCUCAAAACUCCUGGGCAAGGACGGGAUCACGGAGUGGACUGUAGCAGACUUCGGUGUUACUACUCCAGGUCAGAUGUGAAGGGACCAGGAUGACUGGUCAAGUCCUGGAUCACUGCUUGUCAUCGAUGGUGGUGAAACAGUAUCAGUGAGCAUUGGUUCAGACUACAAUGGUGUGGAGGGAUUUGGUGCCUCCAAGAGAUCAGGUACGAGCUAACAGUUGUUCAUAUCGCACAGAAAGUUCAUGGCACCAGAUAAAGUCUUUAACUGGUCAACUCCCAUCUACUGCAAGGAGAAGCCCAAGACUAUGCAAUAUCUUCUGCAAUAACUACUAAUAAUAAUGAAAAAAAAUGAAUCCGUAAAAUU